rnacentral:rRNA from 1 species
CCUACGGGAGACAGCAGUGAGGAAUAUUGGUCAAUGGGCGCGAGCCUGAACCAGCCAAGUAGCGUGAAGGAUGACUGCCCUAUGGGUUGUAAACUUCUUUUAUAAAGGAAUAAAGUGAGGAACGUGUGCCUUUUUGUAUGUACUUUAUGAAUAAGCAUCGGCUAACUCCGUGCCAGCAGCCGCGGUAAUACGGAGGAUCCGAGCGUUAUCCGGAUUUAUUGGGUUUAAAGGGAGCGUAGGUGGUUUGUUAAGUCAGUUGUGAAAGUUUGCGGCGCAACCGUAAAAUUGCAAUUGAUACUGGCAGCCUUGAGUACAGUUGAGGUAGGCGGAAUGCGUGGUGUAGCGGUGAAAUGCUUAGAUAUCACGAAGAACUCCGAUUGCGAAGGCAGCUUACUAAACUGCCACUGACAUUGAUGCUCGAAAGUGUGGGUAUCAAACAGGAUUAGAUACCCGAGUAGUC